rnacentral:lncRNA from 1 species
GAGUUUCCUCGACAAUAGUGGCACAAAGUCCCACAUGACUGAGCGUGUUCCUAAGAUUGAACGCUGUUUAUCUGUUUAUUCAAAACACUAAAAAAAAUUAAAUAAUAGUAAUUUAUACCAACCUUAGGUCCAGGAUAUGAUUAUUCCUUGACCGACCUAUUAUCCGCCAAAACUCUCACGACUGAGUGCAAUUCCCGUCUAAACUUUUACGACUGAGUCAGUACAGGCACUGAGUCCGUGUACCGUCGCUUGCAGGAUGAACGGUCGUUCAUAAAAAAAAUAUUGCCUAUUCGCGUGAGAAUCUUCGAUGUUUGCCAAGAGCACUUGACAGGUUUUGAUCUGAUUUUAAUCUGUUGAAGAACCAGAUCCAAGCUUUGAAACCA